rfam:Gossypium raimondii Chr04_contig_862, whole genome shotgun sequence.
UGUUAAAAAUUUCAUUCAUUUCUAUCAUUAAAAAUUGGCAUGGUUGAAAGAAUAACCAAAUAGUGACACGCGAUGUGCCAUGCAUACCUCAUGCUAACAUACAUGGACCAAUUUUUAACAGUAGAAAUGGAUAAAGUUUUUAACA